AACGCACAUUGCGCCCUCUGGCAUUCCAGAGGGCAUGCCUGUUCGAGCGUCAUUACAACCCUCAAGCCUUGCUUGGUAUUGGGUGCUACCAGUAACUGGUACAUCUUAAAGUCAGUGGCGGUGCUAUUCAGCUUCAAGCGUAGUAAUGUUUCUCGCUUCUGGAGUCUGGGUGGUUCCUGCCAGCAACCCCAAUUUUCAGGUUGACCUCGGAUCAGGUAGGGAUACCCGCUGAACUUAA
rnacentral:misc_RNA from 1 species